rnacentral:rRNA from 1 species
AGUGAACGCUGGCGGUAGGCCUAACACAUGCAAGUCGAACGGCAGCACAGUAAGAGCUUGCUCUUACGGGUGGCGAGUGGCGGACGGGUGAGGAAUACAUCGGAAUCUACUUUUUCGUGGGGGAUAACGUAGGGAAACUUACGCUAAUACCGCAUACGACCUACGGGUGAAAGCAGGGGAUCUUCGGACCUUGCGCGAUUGAAUGAGCCGAUGUCGGAUUAGCUAGUUGGCGGGGUAAAGGCCCACCAAGGCGACGAUCCGUAGCUGGUCUGAGAGGAUGAUCAGCCACACUGGAACUGAGACACGGUCCAGACUCCUACGGGAGGCAGCAGUGGGGAAUAUUGGACAAUGGGCGCAAGCCUGAUCCAGCCAUACCGCGUGGGUGAAGAAGGCCUUCGGGUUGUAAAACCCUUUUGUUGGGAAAGAAAAGCAGCAGGUUAAUACCCCGCUGUUCUGUCGGUACCCAAAGAAUAAGCACCGGCUAACUUCGUG